rnacentral:rRNA from 1 species
AGCGAACGCUGGCGGCAGGCUUAACACAUGCAAGUCGAGCGGGCAUAGCAAUAUGUCAGCGGCAGACGGGUGAGUAACGCGUGGGAACGUACCUUUUGGUUCGGAACAACUGAGGGAAACUUCAGCUAAUACCGGAUAAGCCCUUACGGGGAAAGAUUUAUCGCCGAAAGAUCGGCCCGCGUCUGAUUAGCUAGUUGGUGAGGUAAUGGCUCACCAAGGCGACGAUCAGUAGCUGGUCUGAGAGGAUGAUCAGCCACAUUGGGACUGAGACACGGCCCAAACUCCUACGGGAGGCAGCAGUGGGGAAUAUUGGACAAUGGGCGCAAGGCUGAUCCAGCCAUGCCGCGUGAGUGAUGAAGGCCCUAGGGUUGUAAAGCUCUUUUGUGCGGGAAGAUAAUGACGGUACCGAAAGAAUAAGCCCCGGCUAACUUCGUG